rnacentral:rRNA from 1 species
CCCUUAGAUGUUCUGGGCCGCACACGCGCUACACUGAAGGAGGCAGCGUGUACUCCUGGAUCGAAAGAUUUGGGUAACCCGCGAAUCUCCUUCGUGCUAGGGAUUGAGGUUUGCAAUUAUUCUUCAUGAACGAGGAAUUCCCAGUAAGUGCAAGUCAUAAGCUUGCGCUGACUACGUCCCUGCCCUUUGUACACACCGCCCGUCGCUACUACCGAUUGAAUGAUUUAGUGAGGACUUCGGACUGGGACCGAUGCGGCUUUCGGGCUGCGUCGGUAUUCUGGAAAGAUGUCCAAACUGUAUCAUUUAGAGGAAGUAAAAGUCGUAACA